rnacentral:other from 1 species
UGCUACCUGUUUUACAGGCCAGUCUAUCAGCCUUGAGCCGAUAAACACAUUAUCGGAAGUUAAACUUUAUCUAGGUAUGCAGGCUCGUUUACGAGAAGCUCGAAGGAUAAACGAAACUCCCACUUGGUUCUUGAGGGUUCAAGAGCCCUGAGGACAGCGGUAAUUACGGGUAGCUC